UCCUACGGGAGGCAGCAGUGGGGAAUAUUGGGCAAUGGGCGCAAGCCUGACCCAGCAACGCCGCGUGAAGGAAGAAGGCCCUCGGGUUGUAAACUUCUUUUAUCAAGGACGAAACAAAUGACGGUACUUGAUGAAUAAGCCACGGCUAACUACGUGCCAGCAGCCGCGGUAAUACGUAGGUGGCAAGCGUUAUCCGGAUUUACUGGGUGUAAAGGGCGUGUAGGCGGGACUGCAAGUCAGAUGUGAAAACCAUGGGCUCAACCCAUGGCCUGCAUUUGAAACUGUAGUUCUUGAGUGUUGGAGAG
rnacentral:rRNA from 1 species